AUUGAACGCUGGCGGCAGGCCUAACACAUGCAAGUCGAGCGGAGAGGCGGACGGGUGAGUAAUGCCUAGGAAUCUGCCUGGUAGUGGGGGAUAACGUCCGGAAACGGGCGCGAAUACCGCAUAAUAUCAGAUGAGCCUAGGUCGGAUUAGCUAGUUGGGGGGGUACCGGCCUACAAAGUGGACGGUCCGUAACUGGUCUGAGAGGAUGAUCAGUCACACUGGAAUGGAGACACGGGCCAGACUCCGACGGUAGGGAGCAGGGGUGAUUAUUGGACAAUGGGCGAAAGCCUGAUCCAGCCAUGCCGCGUGUGUGAAGAAGUUCUUCGGAUUGUAAAGCACUUUAAGUUGGUAGGCGUUACCAACAGAAUAAGCACCGGCUAACUUCGUGCCAGCAGCCGCGGUAAUUC
rnacentral:rRNA from 1 species